ACAUAGGAAGACGACCUGAAGAGUAAGUGACAACAGUAUCUUUAUUUGUUUGUUUGUUUGUUUGUUUUAAGGAUACAGAAACUAAUAUUAGGGGAAAGUAUAGCUUUGCUUUUUUAUUUUUAUUUUUUUAAGCAGGUAUAAAGUGGACUCAAGGCUUCCAUAUCUGAUAGUAUUUUCUAUCUGUGAGUUUGUGAGCUUUAGGGCUUUAAUACAUGGACCAUAGGAGGUGGAUUAAAUGUAUGGGCAGAUUAUAGUGUAUGAUGCAGAGAGGACCAGAGGAGUCAGUUAUUUUAGAGGAAGAGAGAAAGUGUUGUUAGAACAUGGCCUUGGAGAGAAUGCUUGGCUUUAGGGUUGAAAGGAAUAUAGUUCCCUUACUGCCUUUGUGAAGGUGAGGAUGCCACUGUAGGCAGAGGAGCAGCAAUCUAACAUGGUGCACCAGGGACCUCAAGCACAUUUAAAGGUCUAGUUGGACCAGUAGGUAUGAGAACAGCGCAUAGUGAUGAGCUUUGGAGAUGGGUGCUUCUCUCUUCGAUUGGGGUUUUGUUUGCUUAUUUUGAGAUGAGGUCUCAUAUAGCCCAGGCCGACCUUGAACUAUGUAUAAGAAGAUGAUUUUGAGCUCCUGGUCCUUCUGUCUUACCACCCAAGUGCUAGCAUUAGAUAAGCUCGUUAGCUCUUUAUUUCAUGGUGGGUCUCCCGUGAUUGUCACCCAUCACUUGUUUCUCUGUUGUUCCAGUUACUGUUAGUUCUUACCCUUUUUUACGUCAGGGCUUUUUCAGUUGCUCUAUUUAGUAGAUAUGGUGGAGUUAUGGUAGUACUUAGAAAAGGUUCCAUUUAGUAUCUGAUGUAUAUUUGGUACUUAAUGAGAGCACUAUUUUUAGAAAGAACCAUUAAGACCCUUGGAGUUUUAUGAUGCCAUAGUGCAGUAGUUAAAUAACUUGGCCACUAUUUCUGUUUGUAGGCAAGUUGAACCUAGCAGAACCUUAACAUUGCUUAUUUCACUGCAAGACUUUUCUGUUUUGUUUUAUUGUUCUCUGUGGUCAAAAGGCAUCCUAGAUGCAAAAAUCAAGAGAAUAAGAGAGUAACUGAAGGAUUAAUAAAGUGCCCCAUCAUGUGUUCUCUAGGAGCUGCUACAUCUUUUAAUAGUUAUCUGCACCCUGGUUUUUCUGAAUUUUGUUUACCUCCCCCAUUAGAUUUUUAGACUAUUGUUGUAUUACUAUACUUGUGUGGUAAAAAAAAUAUUUCUUGCAUUCUUAAUUAUGUGCUCUAUCCUGAGCUAUGUAUCUCACACACUUUCAUGGGAAUCUCUAUAAUACCAUGAAGUAAAUAUUCUCUGUAGAAAUGAAGAAAGUGAGAUCCUCAAAGGGCCAUUUGAGUAAGGUCCCUUAGCCAGGCAAAGGGUAAUGCUGAGAUUUAAAGUACAGAUAUUCUAACUGUUUUUCUUGUCAUUGUAUGCAAAGACAUAUUUUUAUGUCAUAAGCUCAUCUGUAUUACACAUACUCUCUUAACCACCCUUUUAAAGUAUUUUGUAUUCAGUAGCUAAUGUAGUGCACAUUUUGAAAAUUUUGUGUGACAUGACCACUUCCCAGAGUUUGAUUCUCUCAAAGCUAAUUGUGUCUUUGUGGCUGGUAUUCAUUUGAUACUGGGCACCACGUGGUUUCUGAGGCUUGGAGAACAAGUAACUACGUUCUUGUCUGUUGUAGAUUUAUGAGUCACAGAAAUCAAUAUUUCCAUAGCAUUAGCAAUCUUGUCUAUGGCUUUGUAAUAUUCAGCAAGGUAUACUUUGCCAUUAUUUUUAUGCUAUAAUUUUUAGAAAGAGAAUAGACUUCUAGGAACUGAGAAGAAAUUUGUUAUUACGUCUUCAUUCAUAUCUUGGUCCUGACUCAUUUCUUCUCUCCCUUCCUCCCUCCCUCCCUCCAACAUAAAAUUCACGGAUCUGUGUAAACAAUGCAUAUAAUUUUCUAGGUGAAAUUCCAGGUAAGCUAAGUUCUUUUACACUGAAAAUUAAAAUGGUUCAAACCCAUCCUGAGGUUAAGCUUACAUUGUAAGAUCUACUGAAAUGUUUACUAACCUGCAUUUCUAAUAUAACCGGUUCUCAUAUCUCACCUGGUGUGAUUGUGGUAUGACAAGUGGUUUUGGUUGUAUUGUUUCUAUAACCUUUCCAAGUAACUGGUUGAUUGAGUCAGAUUUAGAGGAAAAGAUUUCAUGACGUCAAUGGUCGGGUUUGUAGGUUUAAGUCUUUCAUGGGCAGUUGGGACAUUUCUUUGCUUUAUGACCACAAUUUUCUUUCUGUUGCCCCACCAUUUAAAAGACAUUAUUUAGAGUAAGAAAUCAUAUUGAUGAGUUUUUGAGCUUCUCUCUGUGUAAGUACUUUGAUGAAGGGGGGUGGGUUUAGUUAUGACAAGAAACUACCAGUUCCAGAAGAAUUACCAGUUAUGCUCCAUCACUACAAAUGAGUUUAGAAUAGUGGGAAGAAUCCAGCUGUGUUGUUGAUGACAGCUGAGGAUGUUUGUAGGACUGAGGCAGUGUCUGUGUUGUGGCUACCCUGGUCUACAUGCCUUAAG
rnacentral:lncRNA from 1 species